UGGUCCCACCUGACCCCAUGCCGAACUCAGAAGUGAAACGCCGUAGCGCCGAUGGUAGUGUGGGGUCUCCCCAUGUGAGAGUAGGGAACUGCCAGACA
rnacentral:rRNA from 16 species